UGGGAGCGGCCGAUCGAGGCGACGCCAUGCGCAGGAGUGCCGUGCCGAUCAACGCGACUACGCCGGCUUCGUGAAUCCAUCUCGGCAAGAACGUGAUCUACUUUGUCCAAUCGUUCGUCUACACUUCAGAUUGCAGCCAAUACUAGUUCUGUCUGGGUUUGGAAAUCAAUUUUCUGGGGGUCAAGAUGUCAUGAAACUCGGCUUGGUGCGGAGGAUAGGAGAUGGCAGAAUCCCGAAAAUGCUUGGAAUGAUAGUUGGCUGCAAAGAGAUCACAUGCUUCUACUGCCUAUGGGUCGUUGAGGUCGGGUGUGGCAACUCGUGAUGCGGUGCCGUAGGGCACCGGCGGCGACAACAUCACCUGCAUCGACCUCUCGCUGGUCGCCGUCCAAGUAUGCGCGACCAAGCUGCAAGGUCACCGUUGGAAUCCGUUUUUACCUGCUUUACUGCCUUGACUUGAUUCGGCCAUCAUCACAAGCAUGUGCACAGCUAGACCUUGAUGCCACAGCCAUAAGGACCUGCAGGUAUAAGUGAUACAUGCAAAAUUUGCGAGGAAAAAAACAUUUGAGGGCUUGGGCACACUGUUAGUAGUAUACCAGGAGGAGCCUAGCAAACCAUGGUGGAGUCCCCUUGUAAAG